UACGUAGGGGGCAAGCGUUGUCCGGAUUUAUUGGGCGUAAAGGGUGCGUAGGCGGUCGGGUAAGUCUGGCGUGAAAUCUCCAAGCCUAACUUGGAAACUGCGUUGGAUACUAUCCGGCUCGAGGAAUGGAGGGGAGACUGGAAUACUUGGUGUAGCAGUGAAAUGCGUAGAUAUCAAGUGGAACACCAGUGGCGAAGGCGAGUCUCUGGACAUUUCCUGACGCUGAGGCACGAAAGCCAGGGGAGCAAACGGG
rnacentral:rRNA from 1 species